rnacentral:rRNA from 1 species
UACGUAGGGUGCAAGCGUUGUCCGGAAUCAUUGGGCGUAAAGCGCGCGUAGGCGGCCUGAUAAGUCCGCUGUAAAAGUCAACGGCUCAACUGUUGAAAGCCGGUGGAUACUGUCGGGCUAGAGUACGGAAGAGGCAAGUGGAAUUCCUGGUGUAGCGGUGGAAUGCGCAGAUAUCAGGAGGAACACCUAUAGCGAAGGCAGCUUGCUGGGACGUUACUGACGCUAAGGCGCGAAAGCGUGGGGAGCGAACAGG